rnacentral:rRNA from 1 species
GAGCGAAGGGGGCAAGCGUUGUUCGGAAUUACUGGGCGUAAAGGGCGCGUAGGCGGUUCUUUAAGUCAGGCGUGAAAGCCCUGGGCUCAACCUGGGAGUGGCGCUUGAUACUGGAGGACUAGAGAGUGGGAGAGGUUGGUGGAAUUCCCAGUGUAGAGGUAGAAAUUCGUAGAUAUUGGGAAGAACACCGGUGGCGAAGGCGGCCAACUGGACCAUUCUGACGCUGAGGCGCGAAAGCGUGGGGAGCAAACAGG